rnacentral:rRNA from 1 species
AACGAACGCUGGCGGCAUGCCUAACACAUGCAAGUCGAACGAACCAUUCGGGAGUAUUGUCGUUGGGGUGUGUAACCCGAGGGAACAUGCACUUAGGUUCGGAAUAACUGCCCGAAAGGGGUGACACUACCGGAUAGUGUCUACGACCCAAUGGUUUAUCGCGCUGGGUUGGGCGCUAGUUGAAUUAGGCAGUUGGUAGGGUAAACGCCUACCAACGCGACGAUUCAUAGAUGGUCUGAGAGAAUGGUCAGCCACACUGGGGCUGGGUCACCGCCCAGACUCCUACGCGAGGCAGGAGUGGGGGACAUUGGACCGUGGGCGGAGGCCUGAUCCAGCAAUGCCGGGUGAGUGAUGAAGGCCUUGGGGUUGUAAUGCUCUUUUACCCGGGAUGAUAAUGACGGUACCGGGCGAAAAAGCUCCGGCUAACUCCGUG